ncrna:unclassified sequences freshwater-2 RNA
CAACGUAAUACGGCGUUUUAUGCUGAUGAUUAAUACCCAACAGCGUACGGACUAGAACUCCGAUCGGACUUCUUUAAGGAGAAAACAAAAUG